rnacentral:rRNA from 1 species
CCUACGGGAGGCAGCAGUGGGGAAUAUUGGACAAUGGGCGCAAGCCUGAUCCAGCAAUGCCGCGUGAGUGAUGAAGGCCUUCGGGUCGUAAAGCUCUUUUACCCGGGAUGAUAAUGACAGUACCGGGAGAAUAAGCUCCGGCUAACUCCGUGCCAGCAGCCGCGGUAAUACGGAGGGAGCUAGCGUUGUUCGGAAUUACUGGGCGUAAAGCGCACGUAGGCGGUUAUUCAAGUCAGAGGUGAAAGCCCGGGGCUCAACCCCGGAACUGCCUUUGAAACUAGAUGACUAGAAUCUCGGAGAGGUCAGUGGAAUUCCGAGUGUAGAGGUGAAAUUCGUAGAUAUUCGGAAGAACACCAGUGGCGAAGGCGACUGACUGGACAAGUAUUGACGCUGAGGUGCGAAAGCGUGGGAGCAAACAGGAUUAGAUACCCUGGUAGUCCACGCCGUAAACGAUGAUAACUAGCUGUCCGGGUACUUGGUAUUUGGGUGGCGCAGCUACGACAUUAAGUUAUACCGUCCGUCGGGUAGGUACGGUCGCGAGAAUUAAACGUUAAACGGUAAAGUUAGUACGGCGUGAGACGUGCCGAACGGACGACGACGACGGGAGGUAGG